GCACCUACCGAUUGAAUGGUCCGGUGAAAUCUUCGGAUUCCGUAUGUUUUUGUUUGUUCGAGAGUGUAUGGGAGAAGUUGAGUAAACCUUAUCAUUUAGAGGAAGGUGAAGUCGUAACAAGGUUUCCGUAGGUGAACCUGCAGAAGGACA
rnacentral:misc_RNA from 1 species